UACGGGGGGGGCAAGCGUUGUUCGGAAUUACUGGGCGUAAAGGGUGCGUAGGCGGCUUUCUAAGUUGGAUGUGAAAACUAUGGGCUCAACCCAUAGCCUGCAUCCAAAACUGGAGAGCUUGGGUUCUGGAGGGGAAAGCGGAAUUCCUGGUGUAGCGGUGAAAUGCGUAGAUAUCAGGAGGAACACCGGUGGCGAAGGCGGCUUCCUGGACCAGUACCGACGUUCAGGCACGAAAGCGUGGGGAGCAAACAGG
rnacentral:rRNA from 1 species